rnacentral:rRNA from 1 species
CCAUGCAGUCGAGCGGCAGCACAGAGAACUUGUUUCUCGGGUGGCGAGCGGCGGACGGGUGAGUAAUGCCUGGGAAAUUGCCCUGAUGUGGGGGAUAACCAUUGGAAACGAUGGCUAAUACCGCAUGAUGCCUACGGGCCAAAGAGGGGGACCUUCGGGCCUCUCGCGUCAGGAUAUGCCCAGGUGGGAUUAGCUAGUUGGUGAGGUAAGGGCUCACCAAGGCGACGAUCCCUAGCUGGUCUGAGAGGAUGAUCAGCCACACUGGAACUGAGACACGGUCCAGACUCCUACGGGAGGCAGCAGUGGGGAAUAUUGCACAAUGGGCGCAAGCCUGAUGCAGCCAUGCCGCGUGUGUGAAGAAGGCCUUCGGGUUGUAAAGCACUUUCAGUCGUGAGGAAGGUAGUGUAGUUAAUAGCUGCAUUAUUUGACGUUAGCGACAGAAGAAGCACCGGCUAACUCCGUGCCAGCAGCCGCGGUAAUACGGAGGGUGCGAGCGUUAAUCGGAAUUACUGGGCGUAAAGCGCAUGCAGGUGGUUUGUUAAGUCAGAUGUGAAAGCCCCGGGCUCAACCUGGGAAUUGCAUUUGAAACUGGCAAACUAGAGUACUGUAGAGGGGGGGUAGAAUUUCAGGUGUAGCGGUGAAAUGCGUAGAGAUCUGAAGGAAUACCGGUGGCGAAGGCGGCCCCCUGGACAGAUACUGACACUCAGAUGCGAAAGCGUGGGGGAGCAAACAGGAUUAGAUACCCUGGUAGUCCACGCCGUAAACGAUGUCUACUUGGAGGUUGUGGGCCUUGGAGCCGUGGCCUUUCGGAGCUUAACGCGGUUAAAGUAGAACCGCCUUGGGGGAGGUACGGGUCGGCAGGAUUAAAACUCCAAAGGGAAUUUGAACGGG